rnacentral:misc_RNA from 1 species
GACAACUUCCGGUAGUGUUGUUGUUGGAUAAUGAGGAUAAUACUGUUAAUAGUCAACAACAAAGGCUUGAAAGUUUCAGGACUUUAUCUUAUAAUAAGAACACAUACAUAGAAAAGUGUUCUGUAUUGCUGCUGUGGAUGGAAAUGUGAAGGAGAUGAUGUUCAGAUAGUCGGCAACACAUAGUACGUCUAUCUGUUUUGGGAAAGCUUCCUCGGCGGGCUCUUACACAAAAUUUUGUGGAGUGGGGCCUGGAGUUGUGUGUUGUCAAUGAACUACUGAAUCGGGGUGAUGAUGAUUUAGAAUGUUUUAUGUCGGUUAAAAUUAGGCCUGCGCCCUGAAAUAUUGUGCGAAGAAGAAAAAAUUAAACGCAGGACAAUUAAGUGAAUGAACAAGACAGAUGGACGUCUAUGUGUAACCUAGCACGCUGUUUGGGAUUUGCAGCUAUAUGUACAGCGAUGCUAGAGUAAAGUUCAGCCAUGGAUCUACCUAUUUAUUAUCCCUUUGAUGAAUUUAAACGGACUGUGUGCAUGAACAAACAAAAUCCUGUACAUCAGAGAAUAGCGUUUCAAGAUUUUGGUUGUUCGGGACAUGUUGAUGUGGUGUUCGACAAAGCUGCUUCUCAACCAGAUAUGAGAAUAAUACCACAAAGGCGACAACUUUCGCUGCAGGAUCGGAAUCACUUCUGCGCAUCACUGCCAACCAUUCCUUUGAGGGAUACACCUGUUCCUGUGAAAUUCCCACUAUCAGACAGUGUCAUGGAGGAAACAUUGAAACUUCAAAAGAAACUGAAAGAUUUCGCUGUUAGCAUAAAGAUACGCAGGAGCCAGUGUCAGAGUGAGUUUUUUCCAGGCAUUAGCAGCAUAGCCAAUGAUGUGAAGAAGAUGCUAGAUAAGAUGCCACAGUACAGCAAAACGCUUGAAGUACAAUUUGAAAAAAUAUUUGAGAUCUUACCAGAUGGACUGCAAGACUUGUGCACUGCAUAUGAGGAACUUCUGAGUGCCAACAUGGUGCAACUGUUUAACCCAGCCUUUAGUGGCGGAGUAGUCAGCUGUUUGAAGAAGGAAAACACCUUCACCUCAGACCAUCUUGUGGUACAUGCUGAGGGCCAACAGCUUCAGAGGCUUAAAAUACAGCGAGUGGAAGACUCUGGAAGACUGCUGCAGGCCAAGGUGGUCAUGCAAAUGGUGACAGACCCCAUAUUUCAAGUUUGCACAUCAUUUUAUGGUGACACAAUGUUUGUGGCUACGCGGCAUAAACACAGAGUUUCAGUAUUUUCUGCACAGCUGGAUUCAUUGUUAGCAGGCUCAGAAGAGCUCAUCAAUCUUGAAACAAAAGAAUUUGAUGAAAAUGAAGCACCAACCUUUGUCAGUCUUUCCCCUUACACUGCAGCAGAAGGAUUAUAUGUCACAAAUAAUGGAACUGUCUGCAUCUGGAGACCUGGAAGUUUUGAGAAAGUGUUGACAUGGAAGAAACAUCGCUUCGCAUGCCAUGACCCAUGGCGUCAGGUGCACUAUGGAAGCCAUCCCCGGCAUCUUAUUGUCACGGACCGUACAGCUGUGGAGAUUUUUGACCACAGAAAAGGAUAUUCCAAUGGAGUGGACCUGUUUUCUUUACCUAGCAAAUUGCUUGAUCAUAGUGAGCGUAUCAUGGCAGCACAUCCUCAUGGGUUUGCGUCUCCGUAUCAUCUGCUAGCUACUGAGAACAAUUUUUUCCUUCUAGAUCAGCGCUUUCCUGGCACACCUGUCAUGCACUGGCAUCCUGAUCUUCUAAAGCCCCCACAGUAUAUUACUUCCACCAACAUCACCAUGAGCACCUCUGAAAUCAGCAGCAUAGCUCUGGUAGCCAGUCAGCAGCCUGCAGAGACAAUGUGUUAUCCUUUUGACUACACCAGUCAGUCCUAUGUGACUGCACCAUUCUUACCUUGGAGACUUUCCUGUAUGAGUGACAUUACCUACUUCAAAGCCAUCAAUGGGAUCCAGGAUUCCAAAGUAGCCCGACAGCGGCUAGGUACCUCUUUGGCCGGUGUGGCUGUCCUUGAAGGCCAAAUGCCAGAGUCAAUCAUCACUUAUCAGGUGGACAGUUUUGGGGAAAUUUUCUAUCAGUGCUAUGGCAGAGCAGAUGUGAAUAGCUCAGACAAAACUUGCAGUCGACUUUUUGGGGCUGAAAGUGACUUCUUAGAGCCAGUGGUCCAUCACCAUGUAACAUCAUGGUUUUCAAAGUUCCACAAAGAUAUUGCUAUGCAUUCCAGUAGGUUUAAAAGAGAGGGACAAACAUUUGUUUCAAUGAAAGAUGAUUUAAUUUCGUCAGAUGCCAGAGAAUGCUGGAGGUGCUCAGAAUCUAUUAGCAUCGAUACAGAUGAUGAUAGGAAUGAUGAUGAUCAGGCAUGGAGAGGCACAUGUGGGUCAUGUAAACAAUAUCUGCACCAGGCCAGUGGUGACACAAUCAGCAAGGAGGAGCUGGAGGCAAGACUUUUGAAGAAACCAAGAGGAGAUCUGUCUGCCCUGGACUUCAUUGCUCCCCCUUUGACUACUUAUGCUGCUGACAAUGCCCACACCAAGAUCCACCAUGUUAUAGCAUACCCUCAAGAGAACGAGAAGACCAACAUGGAAGAAUUACUACAGAAAAGAGACGAAGAGAGAAAAUCCAAACUUCUGGAGCAUAAACAACAGAAGAGUCAUGCUUUGAAGAAAAUAAAACAUAAAAUCGCAUACAGAAAACGGGAGAAGCAACAGUCACAGAGUGCAUUGAUGUUACCAUUAGAUGAUGAGCACAGAAGAGAGAAUGUUAUCAUUGAACAAAUAUUAUCAGGGAAUAGUUGAUGGACUUGAGCCAGCAACAGAAACCAAAGCUGAAAAAAAAGAACUGAAGAAAUCUCUGGAAGACAGAGAAAGACAUUAGCUUCCGGAGAAGGAAGAGGCACUAUUGAGCCUUCUUCAUGACAAUUUGAGUGUUGACAUUGCAGGAAAGUCACCUGUCGAAGAUGGUGCCCAGGUACUUAAAAGCAGGAACAAUUUUCACCUCCUUGUCAUGGAUGACACGGGACUUGGAGAAGACCAUCUCUUUGGUCUUACAUAAAGUUCUAAGAAGUAAUAAAUAAAGAUUUAAUUAGUGCGUAUUCACACUCAUAUGGAGCAUGCUCUUCACACUUAAAACAGGAAUGGGACAGCAUACGUGACAGAAGAUAUAUGUCUUUGGUUACUUUAACUACAGCAGUCUUGGUGCUGAGGGGGUGAAUAGGAAUAAGAAGUCUCGGUGCUAUGAAAAGGUGUAUAUGUUGACUGAUCUUGUGGGAUAAAAUGGUGCUUUUGUAGGUAGGUCCUAAGCUGUUUUAAAACUGCUUUCUCUAUAAUCUUUGACAGAAAAGACAAAUUGGAAACUGGGCGAUAGUUGUUUAACUAAAAUGGGAACACACCCAUUGAUAAACUGUCAUUUACAAUAUUGUUAUCGCACCAGGCAAUUUUUCAUCCAAAGCUACACCAUUGGUUUCUACUGGCCCGCUGAGGAAAGUAGUGCAGUGUGAUCAGAGAAUUUGAUGAGAUAUUGACUCCCAUGGUUACUGCAACAACUGUUGGUAUACAGAAUAAACAGAAGCGGGAACAAAACACAGCCAGUGCUCAUUGUGAUUGAGUCGGAAAAAGCGCCAUCGACAAGUACUCCUUGCUGCCUGUCAACCAUAAAGUCUUUCUCUCAUUCUUGAUACUUCUGGCUAGUGUUUGCUACAGAUUCACCUCAAUGUGUUUGGUGGUUGAUGCAGUGAAAAAUGUUUAUGUGUGAAUGCCUAUGUGAAGACAUAUUUGUAAGUAAAAGGGAAAUAAUUGUUGUUUUAGGAUUAUAAUAAAUAAUCCUUUUUAUUUUAACUAUUAAAGCUGUGAUUAAAAGAGCUUGCCAU